GGGAUAGCUCAGUUGGCAGAGCGUGGUGCUCUUAAUCUCAGGGAUGUGGGUUCAAGCCCCUCGUUGCGCA